rnacentral:rRNA from 1 species
AUACGAACCGUCCAAACGUUAUUCGGAAUCACUGAGCUUAAAGGGUGCGCAGGCUGUUUUUUAAGUAGGAUGUGAAAUCCCUCAGCUUAACUGAGGAACUGCAUCCUAUACUGGGAGGCUAGAGUAAGAUAGAGGUGAACGGAACCGAUGGUGGAGCGGUGAAAGGCGUUGAUAUUAUCGGGAACACCAGUAGCGAAAGCGGUUCACUGGGUCGUAACUGACGCUCAUGCGCGAAAGCCAGGGUAGCGAACGGGAUUAGAUACCCCGGUAGUCCUGGCCGUAAACGAGGGGUACUAGGUGUGGGAGGUAUCGACCCCUUCCGUGCCGUAGUUAACGCAAUAAGUACCCCGCCUGGGGAGUACGGCCGCAAGGCUUAAACUCAAAUGAAUUGACGGGG